rnacentral:rRNA from 1 species
GACGAACGCUGGCGGCGGGCUUAACACAUGCAAGUCGAACGGCAAGGCCCUACUUUUGUGGGGUGCUCGAGUGGCGAACGGGUGAGUAACACGUGAGUAACCUGCCCUUGACUUUCGGAUAACUUCAGGAAACUGGGGCUAAUACCGUAUAGGAGCUCACGCUGCAUGGUGGGGGUUGGAACUUUUCGGCUGUUGGGGAUGGAUGGGCGGCUUAUGAGCUUGCUGGUGGGGUAGUGGCUUACCAAGGCUGUGACGGGUACCCGGCACGGGAGGGUGGACGGCGACAUGGGGACUACGAGACGGCGCAGUCUCCUACGGUAGGCAGUAGGGGGGAAUAUUGCCCAGCGGGCCGAAGCCUGAUGAGGCAACGCUGCGGGCGGGAUGACGGCCUGCGGGUUGAAAACCGCAUUAGCCUGUGACGAAGCGUGAGUGACGGUACUGGAUAAAGAAGCACCGGCUAACUACGUG